AAUUAUUUUUCGUUUGCAAAUACGCCGUUUAGUUUUCUAAAAACAAACAAUCACCCCUAGAUAUAGAGAUCGUAUUAACAAAAUUCCCUAGGUUUCAAAGGAGAGUGACGUGUGUUUGUGGUAUGGCACUCCAAGAGUGUGUUUGGUAUCCACUCAUACAAAUAGUAUGUGUUUGGUUACGGGCACGACUCUCGGGGCCUAGCUCAGUGCAUCCAAAAUAACCUCCUCAACCAGGCCCUAGGGAAACGCACAGAUCGAGCGUUUCUCCUCGUCCAGGCUGCGCGCGUACAGGGGCCGGGACGCGCGGGUGCAGGGGCAUGAGAGGGGUCGCGCACGCCUCACCUUCCUCGGCACCAUUCGCGCACACCAGUCGCCGCUGCGCCCCUCUCGCGCUGUCGCCAUCGUUGCCGCCCUUGUGCCCGGCCGUCGUCGCCGUAGUCCUCGCGCCAGAUCUGGGUGGAGCGCCCCCACGCGGCACGGCCGUCUCGCCUCCCUCGCACCUGGCCAUCGUCGCCGACGCCCUCACACCCGACCAUCGUCGCCGCGCGCCGUCCUCGCUCGAAUCUGGAAGGUGCCCCCCACGUGCGCUUGGCCUCUCGCCUCCCUUGCACCCGGCCGUCGUCGUUGCCGCCGUCGCCGUCGUCCUUGCGCCCGGCCGUCUCGCCUCCCGCGCCCGACAUCGUCACCGCCGGCCUCGCGCCAGGUCGUUGUCGCCGUCCUCGUGCCAGGUUGUUGUCUGCGCUGUCCUCGCCAUCUCCGAGCUCAGCUCCUGCGUGGUUCACCUCCGAGCUCGUCUAUUGAAGUGAUUAUUUCCCCAUCGUGAAUUUUCUGCUGAAGCUGUUGCUAUUGCUAUUGCUGUACAGUGAGCGAUGGAUUUGAUUGUGUAAAUGAUAAAAAAUACAAGAUCUAAUUAAAUGAUAUGUCCAUUAAUACCAUUUUUAUAUAUGUACUUUUGUCUAUAAUAGAAUUUUUUCUUUCUAAAUAUCAUCUUAAACAAUAGUAUACAAUAGUUACCCAUACAAAUACAAAUAGUAUAUGCCAUCAAUCAACCAAACAAACUCUCAGCUCGACCAUUUAAUACAAGUAACCAUACAUAAUUUUAUAUUAGCCAGGCUAUACUGAUACAAACAACCAAACAGCUAUGUAUCCUCGUAGCCAGGCCACACUCAGCCUGGAUAAGAGAGAUAAGUCAGGCUAACACGAUAUGAGUAACCAAACACACCCUAAAUCACCCUGGCCCAUCUGCAAGCACCUUAUCUUUUCGUUUUUAUUUAUGUCACCUGCCCAAGUGAUAGAAUGAUAGUUCAGAAUUCAUUCAUGGUACAAAAUCAGAAAGUUAGAAACAUUAAUACUGAUUAGUGAUUACUGAAUAGGAAUAACAAAUUUUUAAUUCAAUCAUCAAGUAUACUACUGUACAGACAUCCAUCUACAACUACAAGUUCAAGCAUUACCAACAAUCAAUCAGUACAGAUAUACAUUUACAUCCAUCAUUGAACAAUAGGGCUGAUUCAAAGCAAAUAAGAACUCAUUCAAUCAAUUAUUGAUUAGUGGAUUGAUUGGUUGAUUCAGAAAUCAGAAGUGAAGAAGAGAGAAAUAGAAAUAGACGUGAAGUGGAGGCCUUUACCUGGAUUCCUGGAGCAGCAACAGCUGAACAGAGCCGCAGAGGCAUUGGCCGUGAGGAGCUGCAGGCUGCAGUAGAGGGGAGGCAGUGAGGCAGUGCCGCGUUGGCCCUGACGAGGAGGAACGGAUGGGCGGUGCCGUGCCGGCCGUGGGGAGAGGAGAAGAAGAGGGGAGGCGUCGUCGCGCCGGUCAUGAGGAGGAAGCAUAGAGAAGCAGUAGAUGGGAGAUAGAGAGGAAAAAUGUUGCAGCUCAGGAAAGUGUGUGGCGACUGAGAAACCCUAAUCACAAUUUUUGGCCCCUGCCGCGUGCAUUCUGCCUAGUGCGACGUGCAUUCUACGUCGCCAAAUUUUUAUUCACCGAGUCGGUGUUUAAUCCUCUCUCGCACCGUGGCUGAAUACUGUUUUAUUUAGCCCGUUUAAAUCAUUAUUGUUUAGAUCCUAAACUAAACAGAUUUGUUCCGUCUACCAUUUAGACAUCAUUUAAACCAUCUAAACGACCGUUUAGGUGAACACUGCUUAUACCAUUAAGGCCACGUUCGGCAGCAG
rnacentral:lncRNA from 1 species